AGUAGUUUACUACAGAAAAUGACUGAGCGGCGAACGGGUGAGUAACGCGUGAGCAAUCUACCUUAGUUACAGGGAUAGCCCGAGGAAACUCGGAUUAAUACCUGAUAUUCUUUAUAUUUCGCAUGAAAUUAAAAGGAAAGGUCAGCCGAACUAAGAUGAGCUCGCGUUCUAUCAGCUAGUUGGUGAGGUAAAAGCUCACCAAGGCUACGACGGAUAGCUGGUCUGAGAGGACGAUCAGCCACACUGGGACUGAGACACGGCCCAGACUCCUACGGGAGGCUGCAGCAGGGAAUAUUGCGCAAUGAGCGAAAGCUUGACGCAGCGACACCGCGUGUGGGAUGACGGAUCUAGGUUUGUAAACCACUUUCAGGAGGGAAGAAAAUGACGGUACCUCCACAAGAAGCCCCGGCCAACUACGUGCCAGCAGCCGCGGUAAUACGUAGGGGGCGAGCGUUGUCCGGAUUUAUUGGGCGUAAAGAGCUCGUAGGCGGUUCAACAAGUCGGUCGUGAAAGUUCAGGGCUCAACCCUGAAAUGUCGAUCGAUACUGUUGUGACUAGGAUACGGUAGAGGUGAGUGGAAUUCCGAGUGUAGCGGUGAAAUGCGUAGAUAUUCGGAGGAACACCAAUUGCGAAGGCAGCUCACUGGGCCG
rnacentral:rRNA from 1 species